UACAGAGGGUGCGAGCGUUAAUCGGAAUUACUGGGCGUAAAGCGCGCGUAGGCGGCUUUGCAAGUCGGGUGUGAAAUCCCCAGGCUUAACCUGGGAACUGCAUUCGAGACUGCAUUGCUAGAGUAUGGGAGAGGGAAGUGGAAUUUCCGGUGUAGCGGUGAAAUGCGUAGAUAUCGGAAGGAACAUCAGUGGCGAAAGCGACUUCCUGGACCAAUACUGACGCUCAUGUGCGAAA
rnacentral:rRNA from 1 species